rnacentral:rRNA from 1 species
CCUACGGGCGGCAGCAGUGAGGAAUAUUGGUCAAUGGGCUUACGCCUGAACCAGCCAAGUCGCGUGAGGGAAGACUGCCCUAUGGGUUGUAAACCUCUUUUGUCAGGGAGCAACGCCGGCUACGUGUAGCCGGACUGAGAGUACCUGAAGAAAAAGCAUCGGCUAACUCCGUGCCAGCAGCCGCGGUAAUACGGAGGAUGCGAGCGUUAUCCGGAUUGAUUGGGGUUAAAGGGUGCGUAGGCGGAAUGCCAAGUCAGCGGUAAAAUCGCGGGGCUCAACCUCGCUCCGCCGUUGAAACUGGCGUUCUUGAGUGGGCGAGAAGUAUGCGGAAUGCGUGGUGUAGCGGUGAAAUGCAUAGAUAUCACGCAGAACUCCGAUUGCGAAGGCAGCAUACCGGCGCCCAACUGACGCUGAAGCACGAAAGCGUGGGUAUCGAACAGGAUUAGAUACCCUAGUAGUC